CACGACACUACGCACAAAGAAAGGGGCGCGUUCAACUGGUACAUCCAAAUAACACAGCCCCGAGUCUCCAGAAAUGAGAUAAUUGUCAGGUUUGCUGUCAUUAAAGCUUUGUGCAAGCAUUUGCGGAAGGUUCAGGACUUGCGAGGACAUGUCUUCAUCUCAACAUGCGGGAAAAAUAUCUUGCGCCGGAUGAUGAAGCUCAGGGAAGUUAUUAUGAAGAUCAUGUAACACAGAUUGCCUGAGACCAAGCUGGAGGUUUGCUGUCAUAGGGUACAGGAGUUCGGACUGUCGAGGAAGAUGCUACAUCUUCCUGUUGCUCUUCGCCAUCGUCUCUCUCCCCCUGUUGGGUGACACCGCCUUGGCCCACCCAAGUAGGAACCUCCAGAUCCGGCUGAGAGGAGAAAGGCUUCUCCAGAACUUUGAGGACUCUCCGAACCUGAAAAACAGUGUAACUUUCGUUUGUAUUCCUCACCUGUCUGCAACACAAACCUGGCACCACUUGAACUAAGAUUAAUUUAUAAUCUUGGUCUCAUCAGACCACAGGUCACUGUUCCAGUAAUUUAUCAUAUCUUCAAUUAUAAUAAUCAUGAUCACAAACAUAGUUGAUCAUACCUCUGAAAAGUCUCCGCUCUCAGCAGCCUCUAUUGCAUUCUGGGCAAUGUAGUUCCGGAGCACCACACGUGGGUUGGUGCUAUCCAUAACCCUUACCCUCUUCUCUUGCACAACCUGCACGUCACUGUUGCCCUCCAGUUCUUGAGCCAGACGCUUCCUGUCAUGGUGAUACCGAAAGAGACGUCUAAGAACAGUAACGGAACACCCAUCAGCCCAUUUCCUGUUUUAACUGUUACUCCCUCCCCACUUUAUCAGUGACACUUUGACAUCUCUCUCAUCCGGGCCUUGUGGUUUAACCACCUCAAGUUCGUUUUACAAGCAACUGUUGCUUUUUCGUGACUGCCUCCAGACACGAGUCCAAUCACAGUGUCCACUUCUCCACUGGCAUCCCACCUAUAGCGUGUGAUCCAGCAGGUCCACUCCUCAGUCUGUUUGGUUUUGACUUCUUCCUCGUCGGUCUCCAUCAGUUCCUUUAAUUUGCUGAGUCGGUUGAGCUGCCUCGCUAUUGUCAUUCUGUCUGAAAUCAUCUGGAACAGCGCUGGGUUGCUCUGUGCCAUGGAAAGUAGCAUCGUCAACUCCCUGGUGAAGGCAGGCAGAGCAUACAAAUAGCCAGUGCUUGGUACAUAGAAUGAACACAGAAUUGGAACAUGACUUGGAGGCACUUGUACUCUUCUGGGAGGAUUUUCCAAAAGAUCCUGGAUUAAUGGGGCUCGUUUCAUUUCAACUGCCCUUCAUUUACUUGCUUGGUUUGACCUCUAUAGUGUGUUGUGAAAUAAUGAACAAGCGGAAAUGUGUGCUCGACCAGGUUAUCAUAGAAAAUGUGUGUGUGUGUGGGGGGGGGGGACUUUUAUAGCAAAUGAAGAUUAUCUCUAUGGAGCAUGAUCACAUGCUCUAUGCUGCGUAAACACAGUCACUCCAGGAAAUCUGAUAACAAAUAAAAAAGUAUUACAUUACUGAAUACAGUAAAACAUUUCUUUGGAAAUACAAUCCAGAUUACCACUAAAUUGCAAUGUUGUAUAAAACGUACGUAAUUGAAAUAAAAUAGAAUGAUAUCCAAAUCCUUUCCGAUGAAAAUUCGCUUCAGUGAACAAAAUAUUUAAUUUUCAAAUGAAGGCUUUUUUUCCUAUUCUCUCAUUUUUAAUUUGAGGCCUGCAAAAUGUGGUAAAUAUGCCCCUGGACCAGCUUUUUUCGCAACAGUGUACAGGCAUUAAAUAAAAAAAUAAAAAAAAAACAUAUUACAAAAGGUCCCAACUUGACGGGAGGAGUUUGUAGUUAAAGUGUGUCUUAAAAAAGCCAGACACCACAUCAUCCAGUUAAUGUUCAGGCUGCAGUAUCUCACCGUGGGUCCAUGGUGGGUUUAUUGGCAUCUUUGAGCUCCUCCAAAGAGGCACACUGCUCCAUCAACAGUUUUACAGAUUCUUUGACAAGCUCCGCUUCUGUGUCACUUUCUCCCUCGGAGGGACAGGAAAUCCGACUUAGACUGCGGAACGUAUUGGUGAAGUCAGCCCCUGCACAAUAACAGCCCACAAGUUAAAAUGAGAAAAUCUAAGUUAAAAAAUAAAUAAAUACAUAUAUAUAUUAUUUUUUUUUCUCUCUCUUCUCUUCAGCUUUCUAUCUCGGCCCUAACAUCAAUUACCCAUGAGCAGCCAACUAAGAGCCAAUAUAAGAGCUGCACAAUUGACCACUAAGGUCUUACCUGUAUUGUGCAUGGUUUGCAGCAGUUCUGUGAUGAGGAUCUCGUCCUCGGGUUCCUCUUUAUUCAACAAACCCAGCUUCUUCCUCAUAUUAUCAAGGUAGUAUCUGUUAUACAAAUCCAAAUAUUCCUCCAUAACAGCCUUUGCCCGGUCAGGUGGAAGCUCUGGAUCGAGAGCUUCAGCAAACUUGACAAGAUUCCAGCGGCAAAUAGCUGGCUGAGCCUGGUAAGAGUAGCGUCCAGAGUUGUCGGAAGCGUUGCAAAUGAAGUCUGGAUCAAACCUGGGGUGAAUUAAACAUGAAGAAGCAUGAACAUAAAGAAGGAGAAAAUGCAAAGCUCCUGUAUUCCAUAGCAAUCUCACCUAUCCAUGAAGCCAUAGGGACCAUAGUCCAGUGUGAGUCCCAGUAUGCUCAUGUUGUCUGUGUUCAGGACACCAUGACAAAAUCCUACACAUUGCCACUGAGCCACCAGUCGAGCUGUUCGAUGCAUCACCUUCAAACAAGAAGUCAUGAAAGGUGACAUGGGAUGAAAUGCUCUUUUUCUGACAUUAACAAAACAUGUUAGCAUCUUUGUCUAAGACAGGCCACGUGAUUUUGGAAAGCAUAUUUGAUACAAUAUUUAAACAUUCUCAUCAGAUUUGGCUUUCACUUUUUACAGCUAAUUUGCAAAAUAAUUUGACUCGCCACUAAUUCAUGCAGAGCAUCCAAGGCUACAUAAAGCUUGCCAAGUGCACAACUUUGAAGCAGGAUUGAUCAAAAAAUAUUUUUUAGACUAUUGAAAAAUAUACUUUAAUUCAUAAAAAUUUAAUUUUGAUAUUAAAAUUAAUUUAAAAAAAAUUAAACAAAUUAAUGCAUUCAAACGUCAUCCUAUGUACAUGCUUUAAAAGCAAGUACAGUGAACCACUACAUUUGUACUUUGUCAUUUUCUAAAUUUGCAUAUUCAAAAAUUAGCUCCUCUGUUUUUACCUAAUUCUUUUGAUGGUGAUGACUUUGGCACCAUCUGCUGGUUAUUUUUACUAAACAGUCUUGCUUUGAAUAUUUCUUCGAUUCCCUCAGCUAAAGAGAGAAACUCAGUGACUAAGCACAUGCUGUCACCGUGUCAUUUAUUACACUACCGUUCAAAAGUUUGGGGUCACCCAGAGAAUUUUGUGUUUUUCAUGAAAACUAACAUGAUUGCACAAGGGUUUUCUAAUCAUCCAUUAGCCUUCUAACACAAUUAUCAAAAGCAAUGGACCAUUAGAACACUGGAGGGAUGGUUGCUGGAAAUGGACCUUGAAACACCACAUUAACAAUGUAUAGAGUGUAAUCCUGAUUAGUUUGGUGUUAUCCACAUUGAAAAAUAAGUGACUGCAAACUUUUGAACGGUAGUGUAUAUCUUAAGAAGAUCGAAAGGGUCUGUGACGUCAGGUCCUAAAUUACCACACGUCUCAAACCUGAUAAGGUUGCUCAGACAUCUUCUAAAAGGUGAGGAAAAGGCAAUCAAACCUCUCUAAAGAACGACACGUUUCUCUCCACUCGAUCUGAGUACUGCUGCUGGAUCUCUGGGUAGAACAUCUCAAUGACAUAGUCCAACAUCUGUCCUCGGAGCUCAUCGUGUCCAUAGCUGGGGCCCUGACGACCUGAGAAGUCAUCUGCCUUCUUAAAUAUCUCAAAAGAACCAAACCUGUUCAGAUAGCAGACAAGGGCAACAAUCAAAUCCAGAAAACUCAGAAACAUGAUAAACUCAAGCGCAUAAAUUACUCACCUUAAAAAGGUAGGUGCGAUCCUGAGAACCACUGAGCAUCUCUCAUGUUUAGGGUUUCCGCUGUAGUAGAUAUCCCUUACGACUUUGCUGUCUGAUGUAACAACAGAGCCUGCUCUUGUGGUGGGCACAUGCAGGAAAUACAUGGGCUCGCUGCAGAGGAACUCUCGAAUGCUAGAGCGCAACACCUUACGGCCAUCGGCUUGUCUAUUGAGAGAGAGCCACACUAUAUCAAGGAGCUGUUUGUUGCCAAAUGUAUCAUUUACAUAUUAUUGUCAACCCAAGACUCCACUGAGCAGUGAGGUUACAUACGCCUGAAUAAACUGUCAACAUGGAUUAAGAGGCUGACAUUUAUAUUGACAUUUGAGUAAUAGUACUUGAAUAUUACAUAAUUGCAAAUAAAAUGCACAAUAUAUCAGUUGCACGAUUGUGAUAUGCUAUGGAUGUCAUUAAAUUAUCUGGUACAAAUGCAAAAACACUUUUGUACCUGGAAUAGGGGGUAAGUCCAGCACCUUUCACCUGAAUCUCCCAUCGGCCACUUGGGUUUUCGUCGGGGUCCCGAUUGGGUGCCACGCUUACCUCCCCCAGGUAGCAGGCCGCCCCGUCACCCAACUGACCAGCGAAAUGGCCGAACUGGUGGCCACAGUAGCAAUGAGCAGCAGGCUCGGAUCCAGGCAUUACUUUAGAGCCGCUCAGAUAUUCUGGCGCAAGUGGGUCAUCCAUGACCUCAUCCCCGUUGAGCCCCAGGAGAGCCAAAGCUUCGUGAGACACCGCCACCAACCGAGGCUUGCUCAGUGGCUGCGGCAUGACCCUAGAGAAGCACGCUCCCUUCACCUGUCGCACGCCCGGCUCCUCUGAAGGGUCCACUGGAAGUUUCUUCAGGGCGACAUUGUCAAAGGGGAGUCGCUCCAGUGGUGAACGACUCAUGGCCAGACCCAUUUCGUCCAUACUGACCGAGGUUAGGGAUCGAAACAAGGACACACCUGUGCUAAAAAGACGGAACGUACCUGAUCUCAGUCGAUGUGCCACAAGAGCCAUCAAACUAAGGUCACGCUCAUUAGCCUGUUUCUUGGCUGGCGAAGUUAAUCGGAACGUUACUUCGUCAUGCUUUCAUAAUACGGAAGUAACAGCGGAUGUUUGUGUUCAGAUGGUGUUACAUUGUUAUUUGUCCGACAAGGAAAUGUAAAAAUGAUGGAACAAAAUGUUUUACGGUACUUUUAUUCCCUAUCCGAAGCAGAUAACGUUAUGAUCGUGUGGAUUAAAAACUUUUCUUUUAGAAAUAAUUUAUUAUUUAUGAAUUAUUUAUAUUUGCUUUUAACUGUACGAAAGCGAGAGAGACGUGGAUCUUUGGGGAGUGCCGGUUUACAGCAGAUGAGAGGAAUUUUGACGUGUUUUUAGUGAAUGGACAUGACAAAGAUCUGACAUUUUAUUGCUUAAUGUACAUUAAACAUAACGUUGCAGUGUCGUCGAUUUGAUUUUUUUUCUUUGCUAUUAUUCUAAAAGAUACGUCUACACAAGUGCAUGACGGUGGUAGGAUUACGCUUUGGGGUUGUUGUUUUUUCAACUGGGCCAUUAUUCAAGCGGUGGGCAAAUUAAAAAGGGGACAUGCAAGUUUGCAGAUGUGAGACAAUGAAAUUAUAUUAAGACCUUUAGUUUAUUCGAUAGCAAGUUCAAAUUAUCCAAUGGCAGCCCAAACAGAUAUGGCAGCCAUAGUUUGCAGUCUACUGAGAAGCGAUUGUACAGUAAUGAAAGUUGGACACAUUUCAAGACAAUUAUAACUGGAAGGGGAUAAGCAGUCGGUACAAAGAGCUGGUGACAUGCAUUUUAUUUAUUUUAGGAUUUAAAGAUAGCUUCCUGCACACGGAAAAAUCAGUCAUCAAUCACCCUUUCCCAGAGAUUGAGGUCCAAUUGACUGAUGCUAAAAUCUGGGCAAAUUAAAGUCCUGUAGGUUUAUUAGGAUUACAUUGAUUUAAAGAUUGCUUCCUGCACACUGAAAAAUCAGUCAUCGAUUAACCUUAACCAGAGAUUGAGGUCCAAUUGAUUGAUGCUAAAAUCUGGGCAAAUAAAAGUCCUGCAGGUUUGUAGUAAGGAUGACAUUGAUGAAUAUUAUUUAUUAAUACAUUACUCACCCUGAGAAUCAUAAGCCUUCACUGAAUCUAGGUGCCAUGGUAUUAAUUUGAUUGAAAUCAAUUAAUCAUAUAUUGAAAGUCUAGGUUUAAAAUAACUAUUUACAAAGUAUGCCCAUAGAACUUUAUAAAUUUGCACUGACCAUUUGAGGGUAAUACAGUAUGUUAAGAUGCAUAUACACUUCCUGAUGCAUUGAGAGGCACUUUCUAGCAGAGGCAGGACUGUGAACAUGGAAAACUUGUUAUGCCAACUAAAGUCUACAAAUACAUCCCAAGUAAAUAAUGGAGAUGGUAAGAAUUUAAUCACAAUCCACUGUAAAAGAAAAAAAAAAACAAGUAUGGUCAUUAAAUUAUUUUUCUAUUUGGCAUUAGCCUUCACUGUUUUUCCCAUUCAUCCAUCAAUUCAGUAGGCGGGUUACACCCUGAAUUGGUUGCCAUUGCAUUUUUAGGUGCUAUUUACAGCUAAGCCUUGAUUUUACACGGACUUUGGGUUCCAGAAUUUGGGAAUCACGUGAACCUCAAAAGCGUGUUAUUUAGAAAGUCUUGGAAAGGGAAAAAAAUUUAAAGCCAUGCAUACAAGUGUAUCGAGAAAUUGCAGUAGGGAAACACUAAGAUACCAGUGUUUGCAUUUGGGGAAUAACAUCAUUGU